UUCUUUUACUUGUUUCAGUCUUUCAAUGUUUUGGGGCCUCCUUCCGGUACUGUUUUUAGUGAAGAAACGAGUUGAACGAAGCUGCUCUUCUUCGUGCUUUCUGGCGUGA